GGGCAUUUGGUCUAGUGGUAUGAUUCUCGCUUUGGGUGCGAGAGGUCCCGCAUUCGAUUCUCGGAAUGCCCC
rnacentral:tRNA from 1 species